AUUGAACGCUGGCGGCAUGCCUUACACAUGCAAGUCGAACGGCAGCACGGGGCAACCUGGUGGCGAGUGGCGAACGGGUGAGUAAUGCAUCGGAACGUACCUUUCAGUGGGGGAUAACGUAGCGAAAGUUACGCUAAUACCGCAUAUUCGGUGAGCAGGAAAGCAGGGGAUCGCAAGACCUUGCGCUGAUUGAGCGGCCGGUGUCAGAUUAGCUAGUUGGUGAGGUAAAGGCUCACCAAGGCGACGAUAUGUAGCGGGUCUGAGAGGAUGAUCCGCCACACUGGAACUGAGACACGGUCCAGACUCCUACGGGAGGCAGCAGUGGGGAAUUUUGGACAAUGGGGGCAACCCUGAUCCAGCCAUGCCGCGUGAGUGAAGAAGGCCUUCGGGUUGUAAAGCUCUUUCGGCCGGGAAGAAAUCGCACGGGCUAAUACCCUGUGUGGAUGACGGUACCGGAAUAAGAAGCACCGGCUAACUACGUGCCAGCAGCCGCCGUAACAC
rnacentral:rRNA from 1 species